CCUUGUUGUACCGGUCCUUUGCCUGCACCACCUCCUCCAAAGUGUCCCCUAUUACCGCCUCCACCAAAACCUUGUUGUCCACCUUGUUGUCCAUUGCCAUGCUAUCCAAGUGAAUUCACAUAUUAUUACAAUUUAAUUAACGUUGUGUAAUUUAUAAUGUAAAUAUUUUUAUAGAUCCUUACUGUUAAAAGUAUGUCAACAUGGAUGAGCUUUACUGUGAUUAAGUACCCCCGCUUUAGAUCCCAAAAACGAAUUUUUAAUAGAAUUGUUGAUCAAGUAAGAAACGGAAGUGAGAGAAAGUUCACGUAUUGUUUAAAAUUUUUUCGACUAGUAUUAUUUUACAUGUUGUUCGAGGAAAAUACAACAGAAUUAAUAAAUGAAUUUUUAUAAUCUGUUAGAUUCGAAUUGGAGAACCCUGGAAACUUGUCGGAGCUUGUGGAAGAUAAUUAAACAAAUUUUUUGGCCGUAUACGAAUUUUUUAAAAAUUAUUAAAAUUUGCGAUCAUCAUUGCAAUUGCCAUUGGACGGAAUUUGGGAUUUAUAAAUAGUUAAGCGUGUGAAUAAAUUUCAAGAUGUUCGACAAGAAAUCAGCUGUAUCGAACAAACAAUAAACAACAUAUUUUACACAAGAAUUUUAUUCAGAUUUGAUACGGUCCCUCGAAUCGAAGCUUAAAAUAAUGACACAUAUUUUUCAAUAGAAUCACUCAAUCGAAAAUACUCUAAUUGCUUGGAGUCAAGCCUAGUUGACAACAAAUUUUUUAAGUUUCAUACAGUAAUAAUACUUGAAUAUUUAAAUUUUAAAUCGUCAAGUGGAAACGUGCUUUUCCAUUCCGUUUAUCUGAAAUUGUUGAUAUAGACGAGCUGAUUAGAAAUAAUAGAUAACUAUCAAUCGAUGAAAAGUAGCAUGGUUUUAAAUAAAUUCAUAUAAUAUAUCAUAUAUUUCUUUCACUCCAAUCGCGAUAAGCUACAUUAAGAACAAAGAGAUCGACAAAUACCUUAUUUACUAUAAAACUAGUCCCUACCGACUACUGCGGUACCAAACGCUGCAUUUAAUUUUCGUUGGAUGUUUAUCUUCUUAAGUUACUUGCUGGAAAACGCUCCCCAAGUUUGAAAAAAACACGUUACAAUAAACAAUGAAAAAUCUCGUUCGUUAACCAACCAGCAAUGCUCUCGAUGCCGUGGGCUGGAGUUACUUUGUCCUUCGAGGUAUGCAAGGUGACAUUCUACGGGGAAAUUUUGAAUAGAAACUUACAUAACUCGCUGCGUUUCUUAUAGCUGGAAAAUGUCUGAAUAAAGCAACUCGC